rnacentral:misc_RNA from 1 species
CUGAGGUAUGCUUGGUGUCGCGUCAGCGCGCCGGUUACCCGCCCAUUUGUCAUACGUGCUGGAGUCCUCCCGCCUUCCGGCGGGGGGAGGACAGUGAUAUCGCUUCGGUCGAGGUGUUGCCUCCGGUCCCUGCUCUGCAGGCCGGAUGUGACCGCGACCGGCCGUAUUUUACACUCUUUGUGAGAACAUGAAGUCUGAAGCAAUAUGAAAAUAUAGCA